GGCCCCGUAGUUUAAUGGAUAAAAUGCGAGAUUCCGGUUCUUGUGCUGGCGGUUCGAUUCCGCCCGGGGCUA
rnacentral:tRNA from 1 species